rnacentral:tRNA from 1 species
GGUCCUGUAGUGUAGUGGUGAUCACGGUGGAUUUUGAUUCCGUAGACCCCGGUUCGAUUCCGGGCAGGACCU